AACUCCUUCGUCUAACCCGGUUAGGACAUCAUCCUUUCACGAUGGUAACGCAGGUUCAAAUCCUGUAGGAGACA
rnacentral:tRNA from 1 species